UCAGAAGAUAAAAAUGGAUAACGUGAAGGAGAAUUCAGUCCCUGGGGAAAGCCAUGAAAAACUUAGCGUGUCCCUUAGGGAAAUAUUUUGCAACACGACCAUCUUUGAAGAAGCGUAAGAAAAUAGAAAGAAGGAUCAGGCACCACCGAAGA